UUAAGCGACUAAGCGUACACGGUGGAUGCCCUGGCAGUCAGAGGCGAUGAAGGACGUGCUAAUCUGCGAAAAGCGUCGGUAAGGUGAUAUGAACCGUUACAGCCGGCGAUGUCCGAAUGGGGAAACCCAGUGCAAUUCGUUGCACUAUCGUUAACUGAAUACAUAGGUUAACGAGGCGAACCGGGGGAACUGAAACAUCUAAGUACCCCGAGGAAAAGAAAUCAACCGAGAUUCCCCCAGUAGCGGCGAGCGAACGGGGAGCAGCCCAGAGUCUGAAUCAGCUUGUGUGUUAGUGGAACGGUCUGGAAAGUCCGACGGUACAGGGUGAUAGUCCCGUACACCAAAAUGCACAGGCUGUGAACUCGAAGAGUAGGGCGGGACACGUGGUAUCCUGUCUGAAUAUGGGGGGACCAUCCUCCAAGGCUAAAUACUCCUGACUGACCGAUAGUGAACCAGUACCGUGAGGGAAAGGCGAAAAGAACCCCGGCGAGGGGAGUGAAAAAGAACCUGAAACCGUGUACGUACAAGCAGUGGGAGCACCUUCGGGUGUGACUGCGUACCUUUUGUAUAAUGGGUCAGCGACUUAUAUUCUGUAGCAAGGUUAACCGUAUAGGGGAGCCGCAGGGAAACCGAGUCUUAACUGGGCGUUAAGUUGCAGGGUAUAGACCCGAAACCCGGUGAUCUAGCCAUGGGCAGGUUGAAGGUUGGGUAACACUAACUGGAGGACCGAACCGACUAAUGUUGAAAAAUUAGCGGAUGACUUGUGGCUGGGGGUGAAAGGCCAAUCAAACCGGGAGAUAGCUGGUUCUCCCCGAAAGCUAUUUAGGUAGCGCCUCGUGAAUUCAUCUUCGGGGGUAGAGCACUGUUUCGGCUAGGGGGUCAUCCCGACUUACCAACCCGAUGCAAACUACGAAUACCGAAGAAUGUUAUCACGGGAGACACACGGCGGGUGCUAACGUCCGUCGUGAAGAGGGAAACAACCCAGACCGCCAGCUAAGGUCCCAAAGUCAUGGUUAAGUGGGAAACGAUGUGGGAAGGCACAGACAGCCAGGAUGUUGGCUUAGAAGCAGCCAUCAUUUAAAGAAAGCGUAAUAGCUCACUGGUCGAGUCGGCCUGCGCGGAAGAUGUAACGGGGCUAAACCAUGCACCGAAGCUGCGGCAGCGACACUAUGUGUUGUUGGGUAGGGGAGCGUUCUGUAAGCCUGCGAAGGUGUGCUGUGAGGCAUGCUGGAGGUAUCAGAAGUGCGAAUGCUGACAUAAGUAACGAUAAAGCGGGUGAAAAGCCCGCUCGCCGGAAGACCAAGGGUUCCUGUCCAACGUUAAUCGGGGCAGGGUGAGUCGACCCCUAAGGCGAGGCCGAAAGGCGUAGUCGAUGGGAAACAGGUUAAUAUUCCUGUACUUGGUGUUACUGCGAAGGGGGGACGGAGAAGGCUAUGUUAGCCGGGCGACGGUUGUCCCGGUUUAAGCAUGUAGGCUGGUUAUCCAGGCAAAUCCGGAUAAUCAAGGCUGAGGUGUGAUGACGAGGCACUACGGUGCUGAAGUAACAAAUGCCCUGCUUCCAGGAAAAGCCUCUAAGCAUCAGGUAACAUCAAAUCGUACCCCAAACCGACACAGGUGGUCAGGUAGAGAAUACCAAGGCGCUUGAGAGAACUCGGGUGAAGGAACUAGGCAAAAUGGUGCCGUAACUUCGGGAGAAGGCACGCUGGUGUGUAGGUGAAGCCCCUGCGGGUGGAGCUGAGACCAGUCGAAGAUACCAGCUGGCUGCAACUGUUUAUUAAAAACACAGCACUGUGCAAACACGAAAGUGGACGUAUACGGUGUGACGCCUGCCCGGUGCCGGAAGGUUAAUUGAUGGGGUUAUCCGUAAGGAGAAGCUCUUGAUCGAAGCCCCGGUAAACGGCGGCCGUAACUAUAACGGUCCUAAGGUAGCGAAAUUCCUUGUCGGGUAAGUUCCGACCUGCACGAAUGGCGUAAUGAUGGCCAGGCUGUCUCCACCCGAGACUCAGUGAAAUUGAACUCGCUGUGAAGAUGCAGUGUACCCGCGGCAAGACGGAAAGACCCCGUGAACCUUUACUAUAGCUUGACACUGAACAUUGAGCCUUGAUGUGUAGGAUAGGUGGGAGGCUUUGAAGCGUGGACGCCAGUCUGCGUGGAGCCAACCUUGAAAUACCACCCUUUAAUGUUUGAUGUUCUAACGUUGGCCCCUUACCGGGGUUGCGGACAGUGUCUGGUGGGUAGUUUGACUGGGGCGGUCUCCUCCCAAAGCGUAACGGAGGAGCACGAAGGUUAGCUAAUCCUGGUCGGACAUCAGGAGGUUAGUGCAAUGGCAUAAGCUAGCUUGACUGCGAGCGUGACGGCGCGAGCAGGUGCGAAAGCAGGUCAUAGUGAUCCGGUGGUUCUGAAUGGAAGGGCCAUCGCUCAACGGAUAAAAGGUACUCCGGGGAUAACAGGCUGAUACCGCCCAAGAGUUCAUAUCGACGGCGGUGUUUGGCACCUCGAUGUCGGCUCAUCACAUCCUGGGGCUGAAGUAGGUCCCAAGGGUAUGGCUGUUCGCCAUUUAAAGUGGUACGCGAGCUGGGUUUAGAACGUCGUGAGACAGUUCGGUCCCUAUCUGCCGUGGGCGCUGGAGAAUUGAGGGGGGCUGCUCCUAGUACGAGAGGACCGGAGUGGACGCAUCACUGGUGUUCGGGUUGUCAUGCCAAUGGCACUGCCCGGUAGCUAAAUGCGGAAGAGAUAAGUGCUGAAAGCAUCUAAGCACGAAACUUGCCCCGAGAUGAGUUCUCCCUGAGACUUUAAGUCUCCUGAAGGAACGUUAAAGACGAUGACGUUGAUAGGCCGGGUGUGUAAGCGCAGCGAUGCGUUGAGCUAACCGGUACUAAUGAACCGUGAGGCUUAACCUU
rnacentral:rRNA from 1 species